AUGCUGUGCACGGGGAACAGGGCCUCACGGGCCCGCAGCUUCUUGCUGCUGCCGUUGAGCUGGAAGAGGUUCUGCAGCACCCCCGGCCCCUUGCUGGCCACUGCUGCUGCCUUCCGCUUGGUCUGCGCCACUGCGGACCAGCUCAGCAAGGGGCUGCCAUGGCGGCCCAGGAAGUGGUCGGAGGCCCCCGUGGGGGAUUUGGCACCUGAGGUUAGGAGUUCGGCUUUACCUGAGGGCAAAAGCCCAGCGGAGUCAGCCCCAGCUGGGCCCACAAAACUGCCUCCACCUGCCACUCCCUGGACCCUGCCUGCCCCUCCCUGGACCCUGCCUGCCCCAUGGGUCUCCUCGUUCCCCCAGCCCCCAGAGGAUGCCUUCCCCCAUCUGGGUUCUGGGAAGUCCAGCAAAAUACCAGCUUUGUCUUUGCUAAUGGAUUUCUUCCCGGGUGUCUUCAAAGCUUCGGGGCCAUCCUGUGCUUUGGGGGACAGGCUGGGGGUGGUGGCUUCACUGGGCGGGGGCGCCUCGCUGGAUGCCUUCUUGGUCCUCCGGCAGCUGCUAGACACUAGCAGGGCUGGAGAGGGCUCUGUGCCUGUGGACAGCAUGGGCCAAGGGCUUCAGUGCCAUGGCUGUGGGGUACUGCCACCCCAACCCUUCCUUGGGAGCCUGUCUGGACACAGUGGAGCCCAGGCAGGGCCCUGCCCCACGCAGGUCCCGGGCUCACACUGGAUCUUGAAGUCAGGCGGCAGCAGCCUGACAUUGGAGACAGCGAUGUGGCCGGUGUCCCCAUCGUCAAAUUCCACCACUACCGAGUCCAGGUCCUCAUCUUCGUCACCGGAGGCCCCUGUGGACGGCACACCUGAGCUUGUGGCUGGAACCCCCAGCAGGUGCCCGAAACAAGGAGGCGGGGCUGCCGAGGCCGGUCGGGAGGGUGAGGGGAGGGCUCCAGGGUUCUUCUCCUUGACCACACGGAGGGUGGAGCCGCCCUGCAGCCCGGGAGCCGGGGCCUCCUCUCCGACUCCUGCAGUGCCUCCCGUGCGAUGCCACCGUCACCCCACCCCGACCGGAACCUGA
rnacentral:lncRNA from 1 species